AAAAUUUGAUGGGUGUCGCCGCCCAAUCAAAUUUGAUGUCCAUUUUAAAAUGCAGUAUAGCUAGGGAAUGACCCCUAGGUCGUCUCCCAAAGACCAAUUUUGCGAUUCAGAAUCAAGUCAAACACACAGUGGGGGGGUUUGAAAGUAUUUCAUAUGAGAAUUACACUAAAUUAAAAUGCAUAGAAAUUAAACACAACUCGAAUAUGAUAGAAAGCAUUUAAAAAAAAAAUAAAAAAAUAAAAUGAAAUAAAAAUAAAAACUCAACCUACAAUUCAAACUAAUUUAAAAUAAAAGAAAAUAAAAUAAAAAAUUAAAGUUUAUCUAAAACCUAAACUAAUUUAAAAUAAAAGAAAAAUAAAAUAAAUAAAAAAUCAUAAAGUUUCUUCUACCAAAAGGUGCCAUGUGUAUCUACCAAAUAUAAUAAAAUGAGAUUGCAAAUGGCCUAAAAGGAAAACCCAUUUAGCCGUGANGGUAAUUCUCCAAAGUGAAUAAAAUGAAUUUGCUUGCAAUGUGAUCCGUGCCUCCUUCUUCCAGCACAAAAACCGAGUGCCACUUUAAUUAAUCACCAAAAUUCAAUUCCCUUUGCCGUGAAAAAAAAAAUAUAGCAAGUGUACCUAAAUUCAUUNUAACANAACACGGACACUGCACCCUUUCUAACCACUAUUCCC
rnacentral:lncRNA from 1 species